UACAGAGGGUGCAAGCGUUAAUCGGAAUUACUGGGCGUAAAGCGUGCGUAGACGGUAGCGUAAGUCGGGUGUGAAAGCCCCGGGCUCAACCUGGGAAUUGCAUUCGAGACUGCUCUGCUAGGGUGCGGAAGAGGGAAGCGGAAUUUCCGGUGUAGCGGUGAAAUGCGUAGAUAUCAGGAGGAACACCAAUGGCGAAGGCAGAUCUCUGGGCCGUAACUGACGCUGAGGAGCGAAAGCAUGGGGAGCGAACAGG
rnacentral:rRNA from 1 species